rnacentral:misc_RNA from 1 species
AUGCUGAAAUCGAACAGAGCAAAUGAGCCACAAAGCUUUGUGAAAGGAAAUGACGCCGCAAAAUCCGACCUGAUAGAUUUGGAAGAAGUUGUUACCAAUUGGGCAAAGACAAUGUUUGAUGUGACAAAAAGCAAAGCGGAGGGAAAAAUCAAGAAGAAAUAUUUAUCGUACAAUAUCAACUGGACAAAACUGUUUCAAGAAUGCUCGGAGCCAACAUACACAAUCCUUGGAGCAAAGCCGAAUGUUGUCGAUGCAAAACAAGAUGAGAAAGUGAUUUUCAAAACGACAUUCACGAAUACAACUCAACGCGAGCAAGAAUAUUCGUUCAAAACGGAACGAUGCACUCGCAGCUCUUCAACUGUAAUCAUCGAAAAGGGAGUUUGCCGUGGAGCAGAAGUUUCACUGAAACUGAAAACUCCUUGUGAAGUUGUGGAAGCAAAUGCUGGAUUUACUACAGAAGUUAUGUUGAAUCAUAUUGGAGAAAAUACUUCUGAAGAAGAAUUGACAUGGGGUGUUGAUAGUUGUGUUAAGGUGCCACCAGGUGCAGAAACUGUUGCUGAACUCGUGAUUAUUGAAGAUAUUGUAACUCGCGAUUUCCGCAUCGAAAACCGUCUGAGUGGCAAAGUUUUGGUGACAAGUGAGUUCUUUCCUUUUUCAUGCAAAUUUAACACAUUUUCAUUGAAUUGGCAAGAGAAUGAAUGAAUAAAUUGUCAAGGGUCCUUGACUAUUCAACUGUUUCACUUCCACUUCUAGUGCUACACCACUAAUAAACGGAAACAACAUUUUGAAAUUAUUCAAUGGAAGAAAAUAUAUGAAGGUGUGUAAAAACAGGGAAAAAUUAAACUUCCAAUUUGAAAAGCUUGAAUAGAAAAAAGAACAGAAAAACUAUUUCACUACCAGGUAACCAGGCAAUAUACCCACAAAUAAUUUCCCUUGUAAUCGAAUUUAAUUUUCAGUAACCAACUUGAAAGAAAACAACAGUUUGGUCACAAUUAUCGAAGGAAAUAUCUGUGAUAUCAUCCGAGGAAUGCCUGAUUACACAGCUAAAGGAUUCCGCUUUGAUGGACCUGCUGCCAUCUACGAGACCCGCGGCCAGUGCAUCUUCCGUUUCGGAAUUGAGCAAAAAGUCCGAAUCAACGAAUUUUCACUCAACUCGUCUCGUCGGUACUAA